rnacentral:rRNA from 1 species
UGGGGAAUAUUGCACAAUGGGCGAAAGCCUGAUGCAGCAACGCCGCGUGAAGGAUGAAGGUCCUUGGAUUGUAAACUUCUGUCCAUAGGGAAGAAACAAAUGACGGUACCUAUGGAGGAAUU